rnacentral:snRNA from 1 species
AUACUUAACCUGGACGGGGUCAAUGGGUGAUCAAAAAGCUCCAUGGCCUAGGCUGGAACCUAAGAUCAGCCUAAGUGGUCGAGCCUACCUAUAAUUUAUGGUUUUAAAAAAAAUUUGGACUAUAGUAUUUCUG